AUCGACGAUUUUCCGAAAAUAACUGUAUAAACAUGGCAUGCACGAAUUCUGACGGUUUUAUUCGAUAAAUUACUGAUUAUUUUAGAUUCAUUGAGUUUGGACAAAAAAUCGACGAUUUUCCAGAAAUCACUGUAUAAACAUGGCUUGCACCGAUUCUGAUGGUUAUAUUUGAGAACCUACUGAUUAUUUUGGAUUCAUUGCGUUUUGACCGAAAAUCGACUAUUUUCCAAUUGAGGAAAUCACUGUAUAAACAUGGCUUGCACGAAUUCUGAU